GGUUGUGUAGUGUAGUGGUUAUCACUCGAGAUUUUGACCAGCCUCUGGUAAUCUGGAUGUGCGUUUCGGAUUCUCGUAACCCCGGUUCGAACCCGGGCACGACCU